AGGAGCAAAUCAAGCAUGCUGAAAAGCAGCUAAAUUACCAAUGUUGUUGUUCUUUUCUUGAGAUUUACAAUGAACAAAUCACAGAUUUGUUGGAUCCAAGCCAAAGAAAUCUUCAGAUAAGAGAAGAUGUCAAAUCUGGUGUUUAUGUUGAAAAUUUGACAGAGGAGUAUGUAUGCACAAUGAAGGAUGUCACACAACUAUUGAUAAAGGUACUUCAUGAUGUAGAUUGUCUUAAAAUGGAAGAUGAAGAGAAGGUCGAGAUUGAAGAGACAGUGUCUGCCUCCAUGUUUGUAGAGCCAUCUUUUCCUUUACAAGAGAAAGUAAGUACUGAAGAAACUGAAGCUAAAACUGAAGUUAGACCAGAGUCCCUUCCUCCACCUGGUAGGGGGCGGAGAAUAUAUGAGAUAGAUCCAACUUUGACAGGUUUUUGUCAACAUCUUGAUUACAGGUAUGGACAAUACAAAAAAAUGCGUGAGGAUAUUGCCAGAUAUGAUUGUAUGAAGGUGGUUUGGAGUUGUUUUCUCGUGGCUAUGAAAAGUUAGGCUUCACGGACAGGUAUUUCUACAGGUUGAUUUCCUUGAUUAUUCUAUGUUUAGUAUCUUUAUGGGUUAAAUAUAAGAUUGUGACUUUGUGUGUGAUCACGGUGCAAUGUGCUAUUAUGUGUAUUACGCUUUUUUUGAUGCAAAUAAUAAAUAAUUAAUUGUAAGAUGAAAUAAAUGUAUGAGUUAAUACUCAUGCUAUGUGGAGAACACAAGAUAGAAAAGUAUUCAUCUAGUAUUUGCAUCUUAACCUCAUUUAAACUGUGGUGAAACUGGUGUUUGAAUUUAUAUUUUCAAACUUCAUCAGCUGGCAUUACUAAUUACAAUUCUGGCCAUUGUAGCUUUGUUGCUUGGGCCAUUGUCAACAGAUAUGUCUUACUUUUCCUGGAGUCUGCUUCGACUAAGCUCAAGCCAAUACAAGCUGUUCCAUGGGUUAAAAAUGUGACAGAUUCUGGUCAUAAGAUAGAGAGGCCUGUGCUUGCAUUCCUUUCGUGUUCAUAUAGGGAUAUCAUCUGUGGUUUUGUUAAUACUAAUACUUUUAUAUUUUUGCAAAUUUAGGAAAUAGCAUGUAGGUUUAUCAAGUAUUGAUCAACAAUGCAAGCUGGGGUGAAAAUUUGUGCCAGCCUAUAGAACCAGUUUAUCUUUCUUCUUUUUGGUGGCACUUCUAUGUGGUUUAUUAGCUCAUAGUUGUCUUCUACUUGAUUUUCAGUGCCACAGGUAUAACUUAUAGAGAGUGGGCGCCGGGAGCUAAGUCAGCAGCUUUGAUUGGAGACUUCAAAAACUGGAAUCCCAAUGCAGAUAUCAUGACCUGGUGGAUGAGGAGCUCUACAUUUGGGGAAAGAACUCCAAUGGACAGCUUGGUCUUGGAAAAAGUAACAACUGAGCCUCAACUUAAUGUUAUAUGUUUCUAUGUCUGCUAUCAUUUUAUGUAUUUUUCUGUCGAGAAUGUUUUACUUACUGUAGCAUUAGUUUUCUAGGCAGUGAAGAAAUGACAUUCUAACUUGUAAAACGUAUUAGGGAUGAAUAUUCACACACUUCUUAUUCAUAGAAUAAAAUGAUACAUAUUUAUAUACAUUUGUUGUGUUCUAAACUAG